rnacentral:lncRNA from 1 species
AGGUUCCUCUGACAAAGGAGCCGCCACCAUGGUUGUCUCGGGAUUUACCGGUAUGCUCAAACACUGGUGGGACAACUAUGUCUCAGAAGAUGAGAAAAACCUCAUCUACAACGCCACAGUCCUCGAACAAGUGGCUCGAACUGUAAACGGUCAAGAGACUCUAGUACAGGAAGCACAGGAAGAUGCCUGUGCAACCCUUCUCUAUCAC